GGGCCCUCACACUAACACAAGAUGCUGCCCACAGGCUGGAAAGCUUCAACUUUUAAUAGUUAUGGUAUUUUUUUGGGUCACUAGCUGUCGCACUGAGCCCCGGGGAGCCGUGCAAAGUUUGGAGUCUAGCGUCGGCGUUCUUCGCCUUUUAAGAAAUCUGGAGUCUAGCGUCGGCGCCCACAGAAGGGCGCCCUUGGUUUUUAAAGGGAACGGCUGGACAAAGGGUGUCGAUGGGGACCAGUGAUCACCCGACCCUAUGCCUUCAGUUCUCUAUAAAAACAACUGCAUCUCUCAUUGCAGGACACACAGAAAAAAUCUGAAGUUCUACUUUGAGAAGUCUUUCCAAGGUUUUAAUCCAGAGUCUGUAAGUUUCUUACUAGUUC
rnacentral:lncRNA from 1 species